AGAUAUGUACGGAAGAUGACUAGCAGAUUUGCUUAACAAUUCAGAUGAUAUGGAGGCUUCCCCACCAAAGGAGGGUAGCACUGUGUCAAGCUGUGGCUCUGCGGGCUCACUGGGACACAGGACCCAAAGAUUGGGAAGGCAAGUGAAUGGUACCUCGAAGUGUUGGGUAUUGAAGUCCUUGUGGAGGAGGCUGCAUACCACCAGUUCAUACCGAGGCUCAAUGAAAUAUGAAGGUUGCCUGGGUUGAAACUCCAGUGCUGUUUGUUUUACGAUGUGACCCAGCACAUCCCUUGGGCAGGACCUGACCUCGACAGUGAAGCAUGGUCUUGGCGAUAUCAGGUGGACACGAUAAAUACUGAAUCCAGUCAACAUCAAAUGAAAGUGAACUCAUGCAGAGAGGAAUAAUAUCACCUCCUGAAUGAAGCUCGUUGUUUUGCUCUUAAAAUAUACCGAAAUUUUCUUUUGGCUGAUGACACAGAAUGAUGCAAAAGAGAGCAAUUGGUUCACCUUUGCUUGUGGUAUAAUAGCCCUCUUUCAUAUCUUUCUUAAAUAUACAACUGAAGAAACAUUAUAUGUUAAUACUUCAGCUAACAAUAGCUAUUCUACACAGAUAUGUCUGAUAUCUACAUAACUUCCCAAAGUGGGGGUGGGAAACUGUCUCUAGCUUCAGCAGGGUUUGAAGACUUGUGUGAUACAAUAGGUGCAUGUAGCAGG